GACGAACGCUGGCGGCGUGCUUAACACAUGCCAGUCGAACGGAAAGGCCCUGCAUUUGUGGGGUGCUCAAGUGGCGAACGGGUGAGUAACACGUGAGUAACCUGUCCCUGACUUUGGGAUAACUUCAGGAAACUGGGGCUAAUACCGGAUAGGAGCUCCUGCUGCAUGGGGGGGGUUGGAAAGUUGCGGCGUUUGGGGAUGGACUCGCGGCUUAUCAGCUUGUUGGUGGGGUAGUGGCUUACCAAGGCUUUGACGGGUAGCCGGCCUGGGAGUGUGACCGGCCACAUUGGGCCUGAGGUACGACCCGUACUCCUACGGGAGGCAGCGGUGGGAAAUAUUGCGCGAUGGGCGGCAGCCUGAUGCAGCAACGCCGCGUGCGGGAUGACUGCCUUCGGGUUGUAACCCGCUUUCGCCUGUGACGAAGCGUGAGUGACGGUAAUGAGUAAAGAAGCACCGGCUAACUACGUG
rnacentral:rRNA from 1 species